UAGUUGGUCAUGCAGUGAUGGGUUUACC
rnacentral:piRNA from 1 species